UACGUGGCCUCAGGGCUUCCAGACUUCCUAGUCAAUUAAAAAGUUUUAAGUUGAGUAAGUUCUAUCCCUAUCAGCGACAAUGCAGGCUAUCCCUGAAUAUUCAAAGAGCAAUAUUUCUCCAGAUGAGUCACAUUUUUAACUUAAAUUUUGGUUACUGGUGUGGCUAUGUCACAUGAUCAAAAUGUAUUUUCUGUUGCUUGUUGUACUGUGUUAAGAGAAAGGCAUAGGAACGAUGCGGCACUGGUCUAGCUGUGGCACUGCUUCUGGUCCCAGCAGUGGAACUUCUCAGUCCUCCGUGGAAGCGUCUUCUAGGUCAUCACAUAUGACCUCCAGAGUGACCAAUCUCAUCAGAAAUCAGGAAAACUACUAAGCAGUGGAGAAAGUAGAAAAAAGUAUUCUCCACCCUCUGCCUUAGUACAAGAGUAAGUGUGAUGACCAUUUCCUAGGUAAUAUAUAUUUAUUAAUUUUUACUUAAAACAGCACAGUAGUCAUACAUGCAAACUGAUUCAGCUACCAUCUCCAAACUACUGAAUCCCAGAUAUAAAGAAUGUCACCUAUGGACUUUUUUCUAUCCUUUCAUAAUGAUAUAUUUGGUUGGAAUAACGAUCUCCUCUAAAUUAAUGGAGUUAACUGAUAGAGCUGUACAUGACUAAAACAAAAUGCUUUAUCAGACAUUCUUCCCUGUCCUGAGGCAUCUUCUGCCACCUGCCCUUUCAUGGGGGCCCAGAUCCAUCACCAUCACCUCAGACCUCCUUAUAGCUAAGUUUCAUCUUAGUCCUGUAGUUCAUUUACGAGUAGCAUCUUUCAGAUGAUUCUUUGGAUGGUUAGGAAAACAUUUCAAGUUCUUGUCUAAGCUCUUAACCUCUUAUAUCUCAAUUGCCAUAAUACUAUUUCUUCUGGCUUUGACAAGUUUAUCAUGUGUCUUCACUUUUGUGCCUUCCUCUGUGUUGACCCUUUACUUGAAACUUACAAAAAUCAUUUAAAAGGUGAACUCAUUAAAUUAAAAUCUUUAAAACUCUCUCUUGUUAUAAUGCCUAUGAAAGAAAUGAGAAAGAAUAUCAGGCUGGGGUUGUUCUAUGGAUGUUGCCUCUCUUACUUUCAUGCUUUCUUUGUGU